rnacentral:rRNA from 1 species
UACGAAGGGGGCUAGCGUUGUUCGGAAUUACUGGGCGUAAAGCGCGCGCAGGCGGUCUUCCAAGUCAGUGGUGAAAGCCCGGAGCUCAACUCCGGAACUGCCAUUGAAACUGUAAGACUUGAGGAUGAGAGAGGUGAGUGGAAUUCCCAGUGUAGAGGUGAAAUUCGUAGAUAUUGGGAAGAACACCGGUGGCGAAGGCGGCUCACUGGCUCAUAUCUGACGCUCAGGCGCGAAAGCGUGGGGAGCAAACAGG